rnacentral:rRNA from 1 species
CCCCGAAAUAGCUUUAGGGCUAGCCUCAAGGUGAGAGAUACGGAGGUAGAGCACUGAAUGUCCUAGGGGGUAUUGCACCUAACGACGACUAUCAAACUCCGAAUGCCGUCAUCUUAUACUUGGGAGUCAGACUGUGGGUGAUAAGAUUCAUAGUCGAAAGGGCAACAGCCCAGAUCGUCAGCUAAGGUCCCUAAAUGUAAGUUAAGUGGUAAAGGAUGUGGGAUUGCACAGACAACCAGGAUGUUGGCUUAGAAGCAGCCACUCAUUCAAAGAGUGCGUAAUAGCUCACUGGUCGAGUGAUCCUGCGCCGAAGAUUUCCGGGGCUAAAACUUACUACCGAAGCUACGGCAUCAGUAAUGAUGGGUAGGGGAGCUUCCCAUACGGGUUGAAGCAGGACCGUAAGGACAUGUGGACAGUAUGGGAGUGAGAAUGUUGGCAUGAGUAGCGAGAUGUGGGUGGGAAUCCCACAGGCCGUAAACCCAAGGUUUCCAGGGGAAGGUUCGUCCACCCUGGGUUAGUCGGGACCUAAGCUGAGGCCGAAAGGCGUAGGUGAUGGACAACAGGUUGAUAUUCCUGUACUACCGAU